UACGUAGGGGGCAAGCGUUGUCCGGAUUUAUUGGGCGUAAAGAGCGUGUAGGCGGUUUGGUAGGUCCGCUGUGAAAACUCGAGGCUCAACCUCGAGACGCCGGUGGAAACCAUCAGACUAGAGUCCGGAAGAGGAGAGUGGAAUUCCGUGGUGUAGCGGUGAAAUGCGCAGAUAUCAGGAAGAACACCCGUGGCUAAGGCGGCUCUCUAGUACGGUACUGACGCUGAGACGCGAAAGCGUGGGAGCGAACAGG
rnacentral:rRNA from 1 species